rnacentral:tRNA from 2 species
GGAGGGGUGGCCGAGUGGCUGAAGGCGCACGAUUCGAAAUCGUGUAUUCCCUUGGUCGGGAAUCGUGGGUUCAAAUCCCACCCCCUCCG